rnacentral:rRNA from 1 species
UUGAUCCUGCCAGCGGCCACUGCUAUCAGGUUCCGACUAAGCCAUGCGAGUCAAGGGGCCGUAAGGCACCGGCGUACCGCUCAGUAACACGCGGAUAAUCUGCCCUCAGGUGGGGUAUAACCUCGGGAAACUGAGGCUAAUCCCCCAUAGCCAUUCUAUGCUGGAAUGCUUGAAUGGCAAAAGCUCCGGCGCCUGAGGAUGAGUCUGCGGCCUAUCAGGUAGUAUGUGGUGUAAAGGACCACAUAGCCUAGGACGGGUACGGGCCCUGAGAGGGGUAGCCCGGAGAUGGACUCUGAGACACUAGUCCAGGCCCUACGGGGCGCAGCAGGCGCGAAACCUGUGCAAUGCGCGAAAGCGCGACACGGGGAACCUGAGUGCCCUGGCAUAGCCAGGGCUUUUCUCAAGCCUAAAAAGCUUGAGGAAUAAGAGCUGGGUAAGACGGGUGCCAGCCGCCGCGGUAACACCCGCAGCUCGAGUGGUGGUCACUUUUAUUGAGCCUAAAGCGUCCGUAGCCGGUUACGUAAAUCUUCAGGUAAAUUCUUCCGCUUAACGGAAGACCGUCUGGAGAGACUGCGUGACUUGGGACCGGGUGAGGUUGAACGUACUUCUGGGGUAGGGG